rnacentral:rRNA from 1 species
AGAGUUUGAUCCUGGCUCAGAACGAACGCUGGCGGCAGGCCUAACACAUGCAAGUCGAGCGCCCGCAAGGGAGCGGCAGACGGGUGAGUAACGCGUGGGAACGUGCCCUUUGGUUCGGAAUAUUCCCGGGAAACUGGGAGCAAAACCGGAUAAGCCCUUCGGGGGAAAGUUUACGCCAAAGGAUCGGCCCGCGUUAGAUUAGGUAGUUGGUGGGGUAACGGCCUACCAAGCCUACGAUCUAUAGCUGAUCUGAGAGGAUGAUCAGCCACACUGGGACUGAGACACGGCCCAGACUCCUACGGGAGGCAGCAGUGGGGAAUCUUGGACAAUGGGCGCAAGCCUGAUCCAGCCAUGCCGCGUGGAUGACUGAAGGCCCUAGGGUUGUAAAGUCCUUUCGACGGGGACGAUAAUGACGGUACCCGUAGAAGAAGCCCCGGCUAACUUCGUGCCAGCAGCCGCGGUAAUGCGAAGGGGGCUAGCGUUGUUCGGAUUUACUGGGCGUAAAGGGCGCGUAGGCGGAUUUUUAAGUCGGGGGUGAAAUCCCGGAGCUCAACUCCGGAACUGCCUUCGAUACUGAAAGUCUGGAGCACGGUAGAGGUGAGUGGAAUUCCGAGUGUAGCGGUGAAAUGCGUAGA